AUGGCUCAGGAUAAACGCUGGCGGCGUGCUUAACACAUGCAAGUCGAACGGAGUGGUUCUCCCGAGGAUUGAUGGUGCUUGCACCUGAUUGACUCAUUGAAUCACUUAGUGGCGGACGGGUGAGUAACGCGUGGGUAACCUGCCUCACACAGGGGGAUAACAGUUGGAAACGACUGUUAAUACCGCAUAAGCGCACAUGACCGCAUGGUCAAGUGUGAAAAACUCCGGUGGUGUGAGAUGGACCCGCGUCUGAUUAGCUAGUUGGUGAGGUAACGGCCCACCAAGGCGACGAUCAGUAGCCGGCCUGAGAGGGUGUACGGCCACAUUGGGACUGAGACACGGCCCAAACUCCUACGGGAGGCAGCAGUGGGGAAUAUUGGACAAUGGGGGAAACCCUGAUCCAAGCGACGCCGCGUGAACGAAGAAGUAUCUCGGUAUGUAAAGUUCUAUCAGCAGGGAAGAUAAUGACGGUACCUGACUAAGAAGCACCGGCUAAAUACGUGCCAGCCGCUGC
rnacentral:rRNA from 1 species